rnacentral:lncRNA from 1 species
AAGCACAGAGCGCGCGAGAGAAAGACGGACAUACACACACACUCCUUUGUUCUUUCUCUGUCCCUUGCUCAUUGGUCAUCACACAGGCAUUCUUGGCCCCACCCUCCUUUGUCUUGUUGUCAUACAUUCACCUUGUCUCUCUCUUUGUGCUGUGGGUGUAUGACACAGAUAUCUCUCCUGGAGCGCCUCUCAGCCCAUGCUGCCUGGGCUGCAGUACUGAUGUGGUAGUAAUAGUUAUUCUGCUCUGCUGCCUCGGUCCCAUUAGAGGAGCUAGCUAGCCAUAUGCUGCUGCACAUCGUGUUCUGUGGUGCUCGCGCGCGCACACACACAUGUCUGUACACAUAGUCAUAUUCAUCAGUGAGGUAGUUGUAGGUGGAGCAUGCAGCAUGUGUGUGCAUGCUGUGAAGGGUUACGGUUAGGUAUGGUUAGGACAUAAAAUAGAAGGCAUUAACAGCCAGUAUGUAGCCUAACUCCUUACUGCUCUGCUGUAGAACAGGAACACUGCUCCAGUAACUGUCAGACAGGAGUCUAGCUUAUUAUAGUGCAGUCAGGAGGCUGCAGCUAACCCCUACCUACAUGUACAUAUUACCUCCACUAACCUGUACCCCUGCACAUUGACUUGGCGCCCACUGUAUAUGAAGCCUUAUUAUUCAUUUUUUUUACUUUAGUUUAUUUAGUAAAUAUUUUCUUAACUGCAUUGAUGGUUAAGGGCUUGUAAGGAAUCAUUUCACGGUAAGGUCGACACCUGUUGUAUUCGGUGCAUGUGACAAGUACAAUUUGAUUUGAGCUAGACUCCUGGCUGUCCGGAGUGUCAGCCAGGAGUCUAGGUGGGUGAGCUGCAGAUGUCCCCCAGUCCCAUCUCUGAUCAGAUGCCUCCCUCCCAGUCCUCCAGUCCCAUCUCUGAUCAGAUGCCUCCCUCCCAGUCCCAUCUCUGAUCAGAUGCCUCCCUCCCAGUCCUCCAGUCCCAUCUCUGAUCAGAUGCCUCCCUCCCAGUCCCCCAGUCCCAUCUCUGAUCAGAUGCCUCCCUCCCCAUCCCAUCUCUGAUCAGAUGCCUCCCUCCCAGUCCCCCAGUCCCAUCUCUGAUCAGAUGCCUCCCUCCCAGUCCUCCAGUCCCAUCUCUGAUCAGAUGCCUCCCUCCCAGUC